GUUAGGAAUAUUGGACAAUGGGCGCAAGCCUGAUCCAGCCAUGCCGCGUGAGUGAUGAAGGCCUUCGGGUUGUAAAGCUCUUUAGCCGAUGAUUAUAAUGACUGUAGUCGGAAAAUAAGCCCCGGCUAACUUCGUGCCAGCAGCCGCGGUAAUACGUAGGGGGCGAGCGUUAUUCGGAAUCACUGGGCGUAAAGCGUGCGUAGGCGGCUUUGCAAGUUGGGAGUGAAAGCCCAGGGCUCAACCCUGGAAUUGCUCUCAAAACUGCAAGGCUCGAAUUCGGGAGAGGAUAGCGGAAUUGUCAGUGUAGCAGUGAAAUGCGUAGAUAUUGACAGGAACACCAGUGGCGUAAGCGGCUAUCUGGACCGAUAUUGACGCUGAGGCACGAAAGCGUGGGGAUCAAACAGGAUUAGAAACCCGAGUAGUCC
rnacentral:rRNA from 1 species